rnacentral:tRNA from 1 species
GAGACCAUGGUGUAAUAGUACGCAUCGGGCACUGUGAAUGCUCAGGUACGGGUGCAAUCCCCGUUGGUCUCC